rnacentral:rRNA from 1 species
GACGAACGCUGGCGGCGUGCUUAACACAUGCAAGUCGAACGGAAAGGCCCUGCUUGCAGGGUACUCGAGUGGCGAACGGGUGAGUAACACGUGGGUGAUCUGCCCUGCACUUCGGGAUAAGCCUGGGAAACUGGGUCUAAUACCGGAUAGGAGCCAUUUUUAGUGUGAUGGUUGGAAAGUUUUUUCGGUGUAGGAUGAGCUCGCGGCCUAUCAGCUUGUUGGUGGGGUAAUGGCCUACCAAGGCGGCGACGGGUAGCCGGCCUGAGAGGGUGGAUGGCCACAUUGGGACUGAGAUACGGCCCAGACUCCUACGGGAGGCAGCAGUGGGGAAUAUUGCACAAUGGGCGCAAGCCUGAUGCAGCGACGCCGCGUGGGGGAUGACGGCCUUCGGGUUGUAAACUCCUUUCGCUAGGGACGAAGCUUUUUGUGACGGUACCUAGAGAAGAAGCACCGGCUAACUACGUG